UUCUUGGUGGCUCAAAUGGUAAAGUAUCUGCCUACAAUGCAGAAGACCCAGGUUCAAUCCCUGAGCUGGGAA
rnacentral:tRNA from 1 species